rnacentral:rRNA from 1 species
AGUGAACGCUGGCGGCAGGCCUAACACAUGCAAGUCGAACGGCAGCACAGUGGAGCUUGCUCCAUGGGUGGCGAGUGGCGGACGGGUGAGGAAUACAUCGGAAUCUGCCCAGUCGUGGGGGAUAACAUAGGGAAACUUAUGCUAAUACCGCAUACGACCUACGGGUGAAAGCGGGGGAUCGCAAGACCUCGCGCGAUUGGAUGAGCCGAUGUCCGAUUAGCUAGUUGGCGGGGUAAUGGCCCACCAAGGCGACGAUCGGUAGCCGGUCUGAGAGGAUGGUCAGCCACGCUGGAACUGAGACACGGUCCAGACUCCUACGGGAGGCAGCAGUGGGGAGUAUUGGACAAUGGGCGCAAGCCUGAUCCAGCCAUGCCGCGUGGGUGAAGAAGGCCUUCGGGUUGUAAAGCCCUUUUGUCCGGAAAGAAACGCCUCGGAUUAAUACUCUGGGGUAAUGACGGUACCGGAAGAAUAAGCACCGGCUAACUUCGUGCCAGCCGCCGCCGUAAAAC